rnacentral:rRNA from 1 species
AUUGAACGCUGGCGGCAGGCCUAACACAUGCAAGUCGAACGAGUGGCGGACGGGUGAGUAAUGUCUGGGAAACUGCCUGAUGGAGGGGGAUAACUACUGGAAACGGUAGCUAAUACCGCAUACCAUCGGAUGUUCCCAGAUGGGAUUAGCUAGUAGGUGGGGUAAAGGCUCACCUAGGCGGCGAUCCCUAGCUGGUCGGAGGGGAUGACCACGCACAGUGGAACUGGGACACGGUCCAGAUUCCUACGGGAGGCAUCAGUGGGGAAUAUUGCACAAUUGGCGCAAGCCUGAUGCAGCCAUGCCGCGUGUAUGAAGAAGGCCUUCGGUUUGUAAAGUACUUUCAGCGGGGAGGCGUUACCCGCAGAAGAAGCACCGGCUAACUCCGUGCCAGCCGCCGCGGUAAUUC